AUCACAGUUCUAAUCCUAGCCCCAGCAGCUUGAAAAAUACAUGGGGGUUCAGACAUUUGGUGUAUGUGCUUGGCUGAGGAGCCAAUGGGGCGAAGCUACCAUCUGUGGGAUUAUUACUGAACACCUCUAAGUCAGAAUCCCGCCCAGGCGGAACGCGCCGGCGGGCCGUCGGGCGCGCUCCGGCGCGUGCGGCGCGCCCCGCCGCGCGUCGGGACCGGGGUCCGGUGCGGAGAGCCCUUCGUCCCGGGAGCCGGGAUGCGGCCGGAAAGGGGGCCGCUCCCUCGCCCGUCACCCAACGCACGUUCGUGGGGAAACCUGGUGCUAAACCAUUCGUAGACGACCUGCUUCUGGGUCGGGGUUUCGUACGUAGCAGAGCAGCUCCCUCGCUGCGAUCUAUUGAGAGUCAGCCCUCGACACAAGGAUUU
rnacentral:ncRNA from 1 species